UCAGAGAGUCCGCUUAAGCUGAAAAGGAACUUUGUUUUUGGUCUUUAGACAAUCACCGUUCCCUUCAGCACAUACUCUUGGUUUUGCAGAAAAAAAAAGAAUAAUCCUCUAUGUUCCCCUUCCAUUAUUAGAUAUUUUGUUCCCCUCCCACUUCCAUUCUCAUAGACUCUUUUUUUUUUUUCGAUUUGGUCGGCGAGCACAUUCUCUACUGGAACAUCUUGGGUUUAAACUGCUCUUACGUCCUCUCAUCAUCUCUUAUUAUAUCUCUUGGGUCUGCUAGUGUCUACUGUUUGCUGACUCUCUAUCACGGUCGUUGGGAUUCUAGUGAUCCAAAGUUAACUGUACAUGGAAAGCCUCUUUGACCAGACUUUAUGCAAGUAUGGGUUGAUGCUAAUAUUGUACCAGAAUCUUACUUAUUUCGUCCUAAUAAUGCGAUGCUUACAAUACAAGAAGCACUUGGUUCCACAGUUGCAUGGCCUUCUAAAAAAGUUAUUCCAAGAGAUGUGACAAGCGAAAUAGAAAAGGAUACUUAAUUUUGAAGGCUUUGUGUUGGGCAGCUGUAGAAUAUUUUGUGCUGAAAGUAGUAACUUUUCAAUAUAUUGAAUAUUUAAGAUUACUUAAAUACUUAAAGAACAUUUUGUUGUUGAUGACAGUGUUGUAUGUUUUAAACUAAUUUGUCGAUUGUUAAUACAAUGUUGAAUGAUUUUACUUUUUGUUAUUUAAAAAUCAAGUUCAUUUGA